AGAAAACAUGACAUCUAUUUUUCCUCCUCCUAUCCAUGCUGCCUGUCUUCAAAGUUAGUGAUCUCCUUAAUCUGGUUCUCGCUUAUCUGCUAGCAGAUAAGGCUCAGUGGUUUAGUUAGUUAAACACUUCUCUUCCAACUGGCUUACUGUGAUUUAUUGACUUGUUACUGUUCAGAGAAAAUAUCUGAGUUAGGUGCAAUGCCAAAAAGCAGCCAUUUGCUACCAGAGCUCCUGUUGUGUUUGUUGUUGUUGGUACACUGCAUUUUCUUACUAUUUCACUUCUUUUCACAUCCACCCUUGUCACACUGAAGAGGUGAACAGAGCAAUACCCAGUGGCUGCCCACUGGGCUGUGCACAUCUGGUACCACUCGCAGCAGGACUGUGAGUAAAUAGCACUAAGGUGGGAUGCAAACCAGCCAGGCCAGAAGUGCACAGGGAUGGCUCCUGCCAACGCUUGGGACGUAGCUAUGCUGUCAUUAUAGAUGCUUUAUAGCUGGUUGGAUGUAAAAGGGUGCUGCGUUAAAAUGGGCACCAUUUUACACACAACCAGCUAGAUUUGGGAGUGAUGUCCAGGACCAGAAGCAGUGAUUGUAGCUUGUGACAGGUUGAUCUGAGUUCAUUAACAAGCAGAUGAGAUCCACUCAGCUGUCUUUCAUGCAGAAAGUAUUUCUUUCCCUUACUAGCUGUUGCAGCACGCUGGCUGUAGAAACAGAACUAUCAUCCACUCUCUCACAUCAGGAUGAGGUGGUGAAUUUACUAGUGCUGUCCCUCUGAAUUCAGGGUAGCAAAUGUUCUGUUUUUCCCCUGGACUGACAACAAAGCUGGUGAAAUGCAAUUCUAGUUUAAUGUCAUCUAAUGUAUCUAUAUUUCUGUGGGAUAUCUGCAGAAGCAUCUUGUUGUCACACCUGAGGGCAGGUCUUCAGACUUCAUCUCAGCAAUGCAUUUAACAAAAGUUCCCCAGUUCUUUUCAUCCAAGAUCAGGUAUCUCCAGAUGCAGCCAAGAAGUGACUACAGACCUUCUCUGCAGUCAGACAGGCCCACACAGAAGCGGCUUCUUGACCUCACCAGUGAAGUGGAAAUUAAAAAAAUACAAAAGAUUUUCAGCUAAACUACUUAGGGUCCGAUCUUCAGCUAAUGUUGUGGAUUUGAAGGUCAAUAGGGAUGACUGUGGUCAUCUAACUUAACUUCCUGAAUAACCUAAGCAGUGGGACUCACCUAUAAAUAGUUGCUGCAAGGACACAACUCCACGGAUUUUUUUCAAAGUCGACAUUCCCCUGGACAGAUUCCUCAGCUUGUUAUUGUGGCCUGAAUGCUUCAUUUCCAGG